UAACAUAAACUGCCUAUAUACGUCCCACUGCUGGGCACAGGCCUCCCCUCAAUCAACGGGAAGGGGUAUGGAGCAUACUCCACCACGCUGCUCCACUGCGGGUUGGUGGAGGUGUUUUUACGGCUAAUAGCCGGGACCAACGGCUUAACGUGCCCUCCGAAGCACGGAAUCAUCUUACUUUUUCGGACAAUCAGGUGAUUCAAGCCUGAAAAGUCCUUACCAAACAAAGGACAGUCUCACAAAGUGAUUUCGACAAUGUCCCCAUCGGGAAUCGAACCCGGACCUCCAGAUCGUGAGCCUAACGCUCUAACCAGCUCUAGCAAUUUAUCACAAAUUUUAGCUGGACAGUAUGGAGAACUGACAAAAUUUAGUAACACUCAACGGUGCUGCGCCUACAUUUGAGCUUCUAGUUUUUAUCCUCAUUGCAUGGAAUUGAGGCUUGACAUUGUAGUAUUCUGCAAUCGUAAACCUGAUUCAGCUAUAAGCUACAGUAAGCAUUACUUAAUAUUUAAACAGUUCAUUUAAAUUGUAUGAGUUGGUUAUGUUUUUAAAAUUUUUUGUUACUUUUUUGGCUUUGCGGUCGUAUCAAAAAUGUACAUGUUGGAUUCAAAUGUGAAUCGCACUUGUAAAGUGGAUGGAGAGGAACAUCAUUACAUUACCUGGUUGAUAGGACCGCAGGGUCGAGAAUGGAUUCGAUCGUGACAACGCGACGUACUUUGUGAGCCCUGCUAGUUGCUGGCAGGAAAAUCGUAAUUUUGUGAUAGGUACAAUAAAAUUGACAACUUAAUAUUUGAUAAUUUUUGUACAAGUUUUCGAUGUGAACGAAAAACGGUUACAUCAGGAUUACGAAUGAUAUUCAAAGCAUUUCAUCUUAUCAGAGAGAACACCUGAAAAUAUGGUACAAAAGUGUAUGGAAUGAGUGCGGAGUGAGACGCAACACGGAAACUGCAUAAUAUUAAUAUAAUUAUGAGAUUUUAGUGAAUUGUAUUGAGCCAUUCUCGUGCUAUUUUUGUAACGUUAACUAGGCGCUUGUGUUGUGUUUAGUCUUAGUGUAAUCGUUAGCAUGUUGUUCCCUGCGCUGCGCACAGCCUGCGCCGGCGCACGUCGGCCGGGCCGAGUCAGAGCCGCGCAGGGGGUAGCAUGCUACAAUAAAUAUCAUUAAGAUGUAGUAUUUUUGUACGGCCGCGCGCGGGGCGCGGGGCGCGGGGCUCGGGCGGUGCUGGGUGGUGGCUCGUGACGUCACUGCGGCCCGCGCGCCGCGCGCGGCCAUUUGCUAAGGUUAACCACACCUACCUCAUGUAAUAAAAGUAAGUUUAUUUAAGACUGAUCGAAAUUAAUGUAACCGGUGGUGUAAUCACCGUAGUAGAAGCCUGUUGUCUACUAGUAAUAUUAAUUUGUAGCUGUAUUAUGUAUGUUUCAGUUUGAGUAUAUCCAAAUUUAAGUUGUAAUCGACGAGUAAUAUCGCACAUUUUACUAAAUUUCAGUUUUUUAUCCGUGGACAACAGUGUUUUUCUUUUACACCUAAUUCUAUGUAUCUUAUGUUAAACUUCUGAAAUAUUGUUGAAAGAAGACUGAAAUUUUAUAAAUGUUCCUAUAUUUUAAUUUAGAAUAAUUUACUGCCUACCAUAUUUUCAUUUACAUUAUGUUUACCGUUUCCCUGGUAAUCAUUACUUUAAAUUCUUAUAAUCUUAUCAAUUGUGUAUGACGCUAUAUAUGUCAUGGAAUUUUUGAAAUUUUUAAUGGAAUUUUGUAUGAAAAAUUAAUCAAGUGAUUGAUAGAAA